rnacentral:lncRNA from 1 species
CAUUUUAAACGGAAUGACGGGGAGGGGAGGCGCGCAGCUUACGUGUAAUUAAGAUUGCAAAAUGGCGAGGGGGGAGGUGACACCAAGCUCGAUCAGAAACUAUGCCACUGGUGAAGAGGUAUAUUGAGCCCUGCGUGGCCCAGUGAGGUUACUAGAGAAUUGGAAGAGUCUCAAAUCAGCAUCCUGCACAUGGUUAUCAAACCAUUGUGAAGUCUUAGUAAGUGGUCAGUGGCUCUGGUGGGCUUGCCCAGUUAGUGUCUUAACAGGCACUAGGCAGUUACUUGAUAUUUUCCCAUUAUGAUAUGAAAAGUUUUUUGUUUUUUGUUUUUUUAGGGCUGUACCCGUGGCAUAUGGAGGUUCCCAGGCUAGGGUUCAAAUUGGAGCUGUAGCUAUAUGCAGGCCUACACCACCCACAGCUAUAGCAACUUGGGAUCCGAGCUGCGUCUGCAACCUACGCCACAGCUCACGAGAGUGCUGGAUCCUUAACCCACUGAGUGAGGCCAGGGAUUGAACCUGUGUCCUCAUGGAUACUAGUUGUGUUCUUAACCCACUGAGCCACAAUGGGAACUCCAAAAAACAGUCUUUAUUUCAGACUAGAGAGUGAUGAGCCUAAUCUCUCUCUUUCCCCGUCUCCCAUUUUUGCAGAUGAUAUCUUGCCCACCAUAAUAGUUGGUGUAGAAAAUGGAUUUGAAUCCAAGCCCAAUAUUGUUUCUUCCACCUAGUGCUUCCUCUAGAUUCCACCUAAGUCCAAGGAGGCGAUGUGAGACAGAAACAUUUUUAUUCCACAUGGAAAGAUUAUAAUAGCCUCUGACAUUGUGCUCCUCUGAUGAAGGAAAUGUCCAUGGUAUAAAUUUUUAUUGUGCAUAAAAUCACCUGGGAAGCUUGUUAAAAAUGCAGAUUCCUAGGCAGCUAGAAGCCUUGUCAUUGGUCCAGAGCAACAUGAAGACCUACUUGUCACUUACACUGAGGCUUCCUGCCCAGUGGGUUCACCAGCAAGCCAGAAGGAAGCAUCACUGCCAUGGAUGUCCUUGUGAGGCAGUUGUGAAGCCUUGGAGAGCUUUAGAAACAACUUGUCAAGUUUUCACCACAAAUACCAUUGGAGUUACAAUUGGAGUCUCACUGAAUUAUAGAGUAAUUUUUGGAGAGCUAUCAUCUUUAUAAUCUUCUCAUACAUGAAUGUGUCUUGGCUACUUGUAGAUGUUGCAUUGCUGCUGCCGCUGCUGCUGUUACUACAACUACAAUUGCUGCCAGUUGCUCCUUGCGUAGGACCAGAGUGAUCAUUCAUCAGAAACCUCAUCUUCACAGUCUGGGGUUUGUUCCUGUGGCUGGUAUUCACAGUUUUCCCCUUCCAACUUUACCUCAGCUAUCCCCUUACCUACAUUAACAGGUAGGCUUCCAGUUUAUGUUCACCACCCAACAGGCUCAUAUUUCCUUUUUCUUAUUUAGUGUGAUUAAUCAUUAGUGCUUCAUGAGAAGCCUUCUUUCUGUUAGAAAAUGUGACAACUAGAAUACAAGUUAAACCAUUCCAUUCAGGGCCCUACAGUGAGUCAUGUAAGCUCCCUUUUAAAAUGAGAGAAAGUUGAGCAUGCUUGCAGACUAUAAGGCAUGUCUUUGUACGUGUGGAAGAGAAAUGAUAACCUAUCGCUCUUAGAAUACAGGUGGAGGCCUAUCCUUAGAUGAAAGGAGUUACCUCUUCACUGAGGUAUAGUGAUGAUAAGAAUAGGAGUUGGGAAGAGUACCUGAUAAAGGUGUUGCAGAUUUGUAAUUGUAGAGGUGGAUGGUGGAUAGGCAGCUGACCAGGGAUCAGACUGUGGACAAAAGAGUCUAAGGAAUAUCCAGGCCAAAAGGCUGGAGCAGAGCACUUACGGCAUAUGGAAGUGGGCAGCUAGUUUGAAAGUUGAUUAGAGAGGAAAAUAUAAAGUGGUCUUGGGCCACUGUCACAACUAACAUUCGGUUGCCUGGAACUGACCUCGAUUGAGGGAUGGACAGCUAGGAAGAGAGGUGUUACACAGAAAUGGAAUUAAGGAUCCAGAGUGUAUAUGGAAGGAAGUUAGUUCAGAAGUGAGUUCAAAGUCUGUACAGAAAAAGAGGCCUUAGUGUGUUCAAGAUGGAUGUUGAGUAGUUAGAAAACUGGAAUGAUAGGACCAGUAUCAGAAAGUGAACUUUGGAAUGUUAAAAUUUAAAAACUAGAGCAAGAUACUUGUGAUACUAGGAUGUCAGAUGGUCAUUUGCCUGGAUAUUGAAGUGACCUGGGAUUAUAGUAAAAGCUGGGCUAGGAAUGAGACUGUGAGCUAGAUAAAAUAGGCUUUAGUAACUGAGUAACUAUCUGGAGAUUGGCACAUGACAACUCUGCAGAUGCAAGAGAAGAGAGGAUGUAGUGGGAUAGUAGUACAAGUCUCAAAGAGUGGUGAGGAUUAUUAGAAGAUACAGAAACUGUGCUUCGCACAUUAUACUGAAGUUUUGGCUGGCAGAAUGCACAACUAAAAUGAUCCUCUCCUAUAUCAAGUGCUUGUUCUAUGCCAAACACCUUGCUGUGUGCCAUCUGUUUAUCCCUUUGGGGUCACAUUUUUUGUGCGAAAAUGAGCCACAAUCCCAGGCAAGGAUAGCUAGGCUGCUGACCCUCAGCACUGGUAGAAUCCUCUAGCCAUCUACUAACUCUGGAAGAGCAACAGGCUGGUCGUCUGGAAGUAUCAUAAAGAGAUUUCUUUAGGAUUGAAAUUUUUCCUUGACCUUGAUGUAACUUCAUUAUGUGAUACAAGCUUUUGUUGGCUCUGUUUCAUAAUGUGCUUUGGCUUCUGAGUCUCUAAGUUGAGAAGUGAACUAAUACUGCCCUUUGGGAAAAACAGGCACAGUACUUUAAAAAUACACACUGAUUAAUCGGAGCAAGACACAGUCAUAUUAUCUAAAUGAGUUUUCAAGAUAAAGAGUAGGCAAAAGAUAGUGCACAUCAAUGGGUGAAUAACAAAACCACUUUGUAAAAGCCAUUUAGGGUCAGGAUACUUCCAGUUUGGUUGCCAUAUUAUAGGUGUUCCCUGUGCUUUUGGGAAGGAAGGCUGGAUUGAUGCAAAGAGAUGGCUGUUAGGACUUGGAAGUUUAGGAAGAGAGUCUCUGUAAACCCUCUGAUAUUGCUUGCAGCCAUUUUUCUUUUGCAGUAGUCUUUAAAUGAGUCAAUAUUCCUAAAAGCUAUAGAGCCUAUAGACCAGGCUCUCAGAUAGCCCAUUCCCUCUUGUGGGGCUGCUCUAUAUUUGUUCCUUAGGAGUUGCUGGUAGAAGACUUCAUGAAGGAGAGAAGAAAAGGAAAAAAUCAGAGGAUGACUACAGCCUCCUUCAUCUCAGCUUUUCAAAGCAUUACUCAACAGAGGGAUCACUCUCUUGAAUACUCUCCAGACCACAGGCCAUCAGUCUAUUACAGGCUCUAACUGGGAGGAGCCUUAUUGUGAAUGAAGCUUCGGUGGGUGCUAGGAGUAACACCGUGUUUCUCUGGAUAUGAGAAGAAUGGAGGGCAGAGAGCAAGGGAAGGAAGCUAUGAAAUAUUGGAGUAACAAAUGCUUGACGUUUUAGUGGGUAUUGGACCUAGAAGCCUAUAUGAUUGAAGGAAGCAAACCUGGAGAGGUCUGAUGUUUGUGAGUGAAGAUAGGAGUGAACUCCUUAUUGCAAUUAAAAAUGGAGUGAGGGGGAGGAAAAAAAUGACAGAAAUCAUAAGAUCCAUUACUUCAGUGAAGGAAGCACUGAGACUUGCUUCAUAAACCUGUAAUUUUUAAAGGUAGAUUGAAGAUAAGUUGUUGUGCUGCACUAUUUCUAUUCCUACCCGUGAGAGUUACUGCCAGCCACUCUUCUCAGGUAGAUCUGCCUUUAUGGAAAUUUCUGUUGACCCACGUAAAGAAACAACCCAGAAAAACAUUUGCAACAUUGAAGAACUCUGGUUCAGUGACAGGGUGUUAAAGGAGUCGAGGAUAGAGGAAAUAGCUCAAGUAGUACCAAAUAGCUCAGGUUGUUUUUUUUUUUUUCUUUUUAAUAGGAUGAUUGGGCCAGAGACAGUGGGCAGAAUGACUUCAGGCAACCCCAAACACCAGAUAUGGCAUAAGGAAACAGUUCAAGGAAAAGGUCAAUCCUUGGACCUAGUAUUUGUGAUGCAAUAUCUUAAAUUAAAAGGAAGAGCUGCUUUGGAGAAGGGUUUUAAAAGAUUGUAUUUCAUAGAAAGAAGAAAGAUUUGAGGAGAAACUUCCAAUUAUAUAAGAUGGGCAUUAUAACUAUUAAAGACAUCUGUUGCCUGCAUGGGUCAUAGAGAUUGAUACCAGUAUCAGCCUGUGGCUGACUAGGCCAGUUUAAGUGGUUUCCUGUUCGAAGAGAGAUGCUGCCAUUCUCUCACUUUGGCAGGUAUUCACCUGCAAUGAGUCCAGUACCUGGAGGAGCAAGAAAAAAACAAGCAUCCAGGGGGACAAUAGUAUAGCCUUCUGAGUUAAGAUAGCAACUGAAAAGAUCAUGGGAUUGGCUGCACUGGGCUGGGCUUGUUUGUUUUUUCAAAAUAAAAAAGUUUUCUUUUUGAUGACAAAAGUAAGAGAUGAUCAUUCUUUAAAAAUAAAGUGAAAAGUAUAAAAGAGUAAUGUGCUUCCUUUUACUCUAAAAAAAGUGUAUAUAACACAGUUUAAAAAUAAAAUUGACAUUGUAUUUUCUGACUUUUCUCAUUUAAAAAUAAGCAUUCUUCCAUGUCAUUAACAUUAUUUAAAAAUACAAUAUUGUGUCACAUUUCAUAUGGAUCUAACAAAAUUUAUUUAGAUCGUCUCAUGAUGCAGAUAUUUUGGAUGUUACCAAUUUUGUUUAUAAAAUUCUGAUGAACAUAUUGUAUAUUCACCUUUAUAUGCAUCUCUAUUUCUUUAGAAUUAAUUCCUAGAAUUGGAAUUACUGAGUUUGAAUUAUGAGAGCAUUAUUAGGGCACCUGAAAGGUACUGUUAAAUUAUACUGAAUAUAGUCACACAAAUUACAUUCCCAUCAGUGGUGCAUGAAUGUGCUAUUUCUCCACACAUUCAUCAAAACAUGCUCUUUCCUUUAAUAAAUCUCUGAUCAUUUGAUAGGUAAAUUUCCAUUUGUUUUAGAGAUUGUUUCUAAUUUACAUACACUAAAAUUCACUCUUACAGUGUAUAGUUCUAUAGUUUGACAAGUAUAGAGUCAUGUGUUCUUCCAUUCUAGUACCAUACAGAACUGUUUCAUCUCUAGUAAUUUCUCUUGAUUGCACUUUUUGUUGUAAAUCCCUUUCCCCAUCUUCAGUCCCUGGAAACUACUUGUUUGUCAUCUAUCCCUAUGGUUUUUGCCUUUUACAGAAAGUCAUAUGGAUGGAAUCAUGCAAUAUGUAGACCUUUUUGAUCUGGCUUCUUUCACUUAGUAAAAUGAAUUUAAGUAUCAUCUACAUUGUUUUUAGGUAAAUUAAUAUUCAUUCCUUUUUAUUUUUGUACUUCAUUGUAUGGCUAUACCAGUUUGUUUAUCCAUUCAUUAAUGGAUAGACAUGUGAGAUGUUUCCAUUUUUAGGCCAUUAUAAAUAAAGUUGCUAUAAACUC